UUCAUCAAAAAAAAAUUAAAAAUUAAAAGAUCUUCUUAUGCCCGUAAUAUUUCAAUUUCUCCAAUGUGUAAUAUAUUUCUACCAAAGAAGAUCUCUUUAUCAUCCACUGCAUAUUGAAAAGACGGGUUAAUUUGUGUAAAGAUUAGAUUAGCGCUCAUUGGAUUCAUCAAAUGGUAUUAAAGCGCAGUAGCUGCAGCGUUUUCAACUUAAUACAUCGAAUAUGGGCAAAUGGAAGUUGAUUCUACGAACCAAAUACCGAAAAAUAGACAUUUUCU